rnacentral:rRNA from 1 species
UACGUAGGGUGCAAGCGUUGUCCGGAAUUAUUGGGCGUAAAGAGCUCGUAGGCGGUCUGUCGCGUCUGCUGUGAAAACUCGGGGCUUAACCCCGGGCCUGCAGUGGGUACGGGCAGACUAGAGUGCGGUAGGGGAGACUGGAAUUCCUGGUGUAGCGGUGAAAUGCGCAGAUAUCAGGAGGAACACCGGUGGCGAAGGCGGCUCUCUGGUACGUGACUGACGCUGAGACGCGAAAGCGUGGGGAGCAAACAGG